GAUGAACGCUGGCGGCGUGCCUAAUACAUGCAAGUCGAGCGAACGGACGAGAAGCUUGCUUCUCUGAUGUUAGCGGCGGACGGGUGAGUAACACGUGGAUAACCUACCUAUAAGACUGGGAUAACUUCGGGAAACCGGAGCUAAUACCGGAUAAUAUUUUGAACCGCAUGGUUCAAAAGUGAAAGACGGUCUUGCUGUCACUUAUAGAUGGAUCCGCGCUGCAUUAGCUAGUUGGUAAGGUAACGGCUUACCAAGACAACGAUGCAUAGCCGACCUGAGAGGGUGAUCGGCCACACUGGAACUGAGACACGGUCCAAACUCCUACGGGAGGCAGCAGUAGGGAAUCUUCCGCAAUGGGCGAAAGCCUGACGGAGCAACGCCGCGUGAGUGAUGAAGGUCUUCGGAUCGUAAAACUCUGUUAUUAGGGAGGAACAUAUGUGUAAGUAACUGUGCACAUCUUGACGGUACCUAAUCAGAAAGCCACGGCUAACUACGUG
rnacentral:rRNA from 1 species